rnacentral:tRNA from 1 species
GGGGACGUGGCCUAGACCGGUAAGGCGACGGGCUCCAGACUCGUCGAUCGUGGGUUCAAAUCCCACCGUCCCCACCA